AAACCCCAUCCCACAGGGAGCGGGACCAGAGCGGCUGCUCAACAAGAGCACCAUAGAGAGGAGGAGGUUAAGGGCUAGAGCGACUCAUGCUGCGGGCAUAAACCAUAGACGGUAGUUGGACUGAGGCUAGAGCGGCGUCCGCUAGCCCCGAUACCACAGCGGGGCUGAGUCCGCCUGCCUAGAAUGACUCCAGCGGGGCAGUUACCAUAGAGAGGAGACUCGUUCGCUAGAGCGACAACCGCGGGUGGCAAAUAUAGAGCGGUAGCGGGGCUACGCCAGAGCGCCUCCCAUGGGCGAUCCGUACCAUAGAGAUGAGUGGCUAGAGGGACGAGAACUGUACCAUGAAGGCAGGGAAGUCGGGCUAGAAGGAAUCUCACGAACAGGUGUCUUCCUGUGAGGCAGGUUUUCCAGACCAUGAGUUGCUCUUGUGAACCCUUUUUCUGAACCCUUUCCAAUUUAUCAACAUCCUUUUUGAAGUCUGGACACCCCAACUAGACAAGGUAAACAGAGACUCAAGGAGCUCAAUUGCUAUCAUCUUUCCAGCAGUUUUAGUGAUAGCUUUCAUUUCUCCAGGACUCUUUAUGGCAUGGAAGGCCCCAGAGCUUUGAGAUGUGGCCUUCAGAGGCAUCCCCUACACACCGGCAGAGUGCUUCCACCAGAUAAGAAAGCAUCCAAGAUGGAGCAAAGAAGACAUGUUCCAGGAGGUGCUGCAAUACUCAGAUGCAGAAAAGAGGGAACGCAGGCAGUGAAGGGAAAUGGAAAGGUUGGACAGAAAAGAAAAUGAGGCUUUCAUUGGGGAUGCAAUGGAGAGGAUGAUUAAAGUUAUGGAGAAGCAAACUGAGAUGCUACAAAGAGAAAAGGAGUGCUUGUGGCACCUUAGAGACUAACCAAUUUAUUUGAGCAUAAGCUUUCGUGAGCU